rnacentral:rRNA from 1 species
GACGAACGCUGGCGGCGUGCCUAAUACAUGCAAGUCGAGCGGACUUUCAAGAAGCUUGCUUUUUGAAAGUUAGCGGCGGACGGGUGAGUAACACGUGGGCAACCUGCCUGCAAGACGGGGAUAACUCCGGGAAACCGGGGCUAAUACCGGAUAAUAUCUUCCUUCGCAUGAAGGAAGGUUGAAAGGCGGCGCAAGCUGCCGCUUGCAGAUGGGCCCGCGGCGCAUUAGCUAGUUGGUGAGGUAACGGCUCACCAAGGCGACGAUGCGUAGCCGACCUGAGAGGGUGAUCGGCCACACUGGGACUGAGACACGGCCCAGACUCCCACGGGAGGCAGCAGUAGGGAAUCUUCCGCAAUGGACGAAAGUCUGACGGAGCAACGCCGCGUGAGCGAAGAAGGUCUUCGGAUCGUAAAGCUCUGUUGUCAGGGAAGAACAAGUACCGUUCGAACAGGGCGGUACCUUGACGGUACCUGACCAGAAAGCCACGGCUAACUACGUG